CCUACGGGUGGCUGCAGUGAGGAAUAUUGGUCAAUGGGCGCGAGCCUGAACCAGCCAAGUAGCGUGAAGGAUGACUGCCCUACGGGUUGUAAACUUCUUUUAUAAAGGAAUAAAGUGAGGCACGGGUGCCUUUUUGGAUGUACCUUAUGAAUAAGGAUCGGCUAACUCCGUGCCAGCAGCCUCGGUAAUACGGAGGAUCCGAGCGUUAUCCGGAUUUAUUGGGUUUAAAGGGAGCGUAGUGGGGUUGUUAUGUCAGUUGUGAUAGGUUGCGGAUCAACCGUAAAAUUGCAAUUGAUACUGGCAGUCGUGUGUACAGUUGCGCUAGGCGGAAUUCGUGGUGUAGCGGUGAAAUGCUUAGAUAUCACGAAGAACUCCGAUUGCGAAGGCAGCUUACUAAGCUGCCACUGACAUUGAUGCUCGAAAGUGUGGGUAUCAAACAGGAUUAGAUACCCCAGUAGUC
rnacentral:rRNA from 1 species